rnacentral:rRNA from 1 species
UACGAAGGUCCCAAGCGUUAUCCGGAUUUAUUGGGUUUAAAGGGUGCGUAGGCGGGCUAUUAAGUCAGUGGUGAAAGCCCCAAGCUUAACUUGGGAACUGCCAUUGAUACUGAUGGUCUUGAGUACAUUUGAGGUGGGCGGAAUGUGUCAUGUAGCGGUGAAAUGCGCAGAUAUCAGGAGGAACACCGGUGGCGAAGGCGGUUCUCUGGGCAUUACCUGACGCUGAGGAGCGAAAGUGUGGGGAGCGAACAGG